AAAGUUCUGAUACUAUUGUAGGACUAGAAAAUAAACUAAAACAUUGGUGUUUGAAUAACUUAGAAACUCUGUGCUUAAAUGUUGUGACUGAUUUGUUGUUAGUACUUCGAAGCGAAGGGUAUACAAAUCUGCCAUAAACUGCACAGACUUUAUUAGGCCCCAAACACAGCCGUACUUUACAACAAAUGCGCAGUUGUAAAAACACCGUUGGUGAAUUUAUCUAUUUAGGCAUCGAGAAUGGCCUUAAAAGAGUCAUAUCACAAGAAUACACUAACGACGAGAUCACUGUAUUCAUUCACAUGCAUGGCAUGUCACUUUUUAGAAAUUCUCCAAUACAAAUGUGGCCAACGUUUAUUAAAGUAUUUCAUAGAAACUUCUCAGUGAAACCUUUUGCUGUUUCGAUAUUUUGUGGUGAUUCUAAGCCAUAUAGUAUUCAUGAAUACUUGGAGAAUUUUGUAGAAGAAGCAAACAAGCUCAUUAGAAAUGGCGUGACAAUAAAUGAUCGACAAUAUGCGUUCAAGAUUUUUGCAGUAAUCGCAGACAGUCCUGCCAGAGCAUUUUUAAAAUGUUGCAAAAACCCUAGUGGAUUUUAUGAUUGUGAAAGGUGCAUCACAAAAGAAAUGACUCAGCAAACAAAUAUCAACCGAAAAAAGGGAAACAAAAAAAUGAAUAAAAGAGUGUAUCCAGUAAUGGAUUGCGAGCUUCGAACGAAAAAAUCUUUCGCCGACAAAUAACAACCCCAGCACCAUCGUGGUGGCGAAGAAAUAGAAUCACCACUGCUCUUGCUGACGGAUUUCGAUCUCGUCAGGUCUGUGGCGUUUUGUUCAAAUGCAUCUGAUGGAUGAAGGUGCAAUGAAAUCUUUGAUCGAAAAGUGGAUAACAAAGGAUAAAGCUACACGUCUGAAAAGUACUGACGUGAAAAAACUCAAUGAUCGCUUGGUUUUAUUGACACCGGAUAUACCUUGCGAGUUUCAGCGGAAAAAAUUCACUCUCGACUACAUCGUGCAGUGGAAAGUCACACAGUAUCGAUUCAUUAUUGUGGACCGAGAGUCUUGAAGAAUAUUUUGUCCAGUAGCAUGUAUAAUCAUUUUAUGCUGCUGUUUGUGGCGUGUCGUAUACUCGAUAGUGACGAAUUAUGUUAGUGUGACCGCUCGAGAUUAUGCUAGAACAUUACUGAGAAAAUUUUUUGAUUUGCCUUCCAUCAUUUUAUGGGAAAGAUUCUCAAGUACUGAACAUGCAUAACCUUAUUCACGUCGCUGAUGAUGUAGAACAAUUUGGUCUUCCUUUGAGUGAUAUCGCUGCGUACUGGGGAGAAAGUUUUAUUGGCAAAUUUAAGAAACUUAUCAAAUCGAAAAGAAAACCAUUGACGCAAAUCGUAAAUCGCUUAGAGGAACUCGAAUCGAGUGACAGACUAUUGAUGAAAAAAAAUGCGAUAUAUACGUGUAUCAAAUAGCUAAGAAAAGGCAAAAUAUUUUCACCGAUCAAAGAGAAAAACGUGUGUGUGUGUGUGAACAGCGUGAAAAUAAAAGAAGCUACAUUCAAGAAUAAUCAUCCCGAUAACAUCGCACAAUUGGAUGAUGGAACAAUUGUUAAAAUCAAUAAAAUAUUUAUGAAAUGUGACGAAGAGGAAAAAAACAUAUCCAAUAAUGAUUGUAAUGUAACAUUGCAUAAUUUGUAUUUCGAAGUUUGUGCAGCGGAAAAGUCGGACGAUGUAUUUUGUUAUCCGACUAAGUCAUCAGAUUUGGGCAUUGUCGCUAUGAAUGGUUUUUCAAACAAUCAAAAAUAUAUUUCUGCAAUUCAAAUUAAGCAGAAAUGUGUGUAUCUUCACGAUGAAAACCAAUACUUCGUAAUUCCGUUACAACACGUGUGAAUGAUUGGACAAUGUGAAAUCGACAACGACGUAGUUAACAUUGCUGACACGCCUCUUACCACCAUAUAAAAAAAUGUAAACAAAACAUUGAACAACGAAUAUACUGAGACGUGGCGGAGAGAGGGGAGUGUCGAGCGAGAGGACCACACGCUAGAGCGAGGCAGUUGAACGUGGAUCUUUGACGAAAUAGCGAACUAAGGAAAAAUCGAACGACUUUCUGAAAAGUGUACAAUUAUUAUCAUAUUUAUUUCCGUGACGUGUGGUGUUAAGACUGUGCGAUAAUUAAAUUUUUUUUAUUGCAUUUUUCCCUUGUGUCAGCUUAUUAGUUUAACAAAAAAAUUGUUGAAAAAGUCAACGAACAAUGUCCGAUUCCCCGUCUCAAUCAACGACCAAUAAAAAAUAUCAGUACGCGGUUGUAUGGUUUCAAUCGGAAAAAGUGACCGAACUCGUGCCGUUAUCAUGGGUAUACAAUGAAGUGGGGCAAGAUUUUUGCUAUUAUCCUCCGAAGAAAGAUUACAAAUACAUGGAUGAAUGGUUGACUUCGUGCGCUGACCCUGGGACACACUGGAAAUCCUUUAUGACGGAAGUAUUAUCGCGAACGAAAACUUUGGAGAAGGGCAAACGAUACUUGGAACGAUCCUACGAUACAAGGAACAUUGAGACUACCGAUGGCGAAGAUACAAAUUUGUCAAAAGAACCUGUUAUCCUGUCAGGGAAAACAGUUAAAAAAUCUCUCCAAGAUGUACCGACCAUGUUUUCUUCAGUACAAAAAAAAAUAACAAUGAUGAUACAUUUGCUGCGAAAAAAAUCACAACGGAGAGUCACGCUAUACUUGAGGAAUAUUUAAACAACAAAUUUCAUCAACUGGAGAUUUCGAUUAAUUCAAACCUGGGUAGCAUAAAGCGAAGUCUCCUAUACGAUAUCGAAAUGAAAACGACUGCAGUGAAGAAUACCAUUAUCGCAAACGCAACGAGCGACAGAGCUCCUAAUUUCAUAAAUUGUUCAGAGGCUAGGGCUGGAGUUGGUUCUACCUUGCCGAUAAAAAAUCUCGAUGAUUUUCUGAAAUUUGACGCAGCUCUAAAAAACGAUGAGAAGAGAAAAGCCUUGAUGACUCUUUAUCGGGUUCUCGUAUCCGGAAUAUCCCAGGCAAAAGAUUGCAUUUCCAAAAUUAUCGUCGCGACAAUAACAAAAUCUGUCGAGCUGCAUUACUCAGGAACUGGGUGCAUUAUUAAAAAUGUCGGGAAAAAAAACUUCAGUGCAACGGCGACCUAUGGCUGUCUCAAAGAUACACUCUUGGCGAAAUUUGGAGAUUGUGGCAACGAAGUAAAAAAUUUGGAGGGAAGAGUAGGCAGAUGGCUGUCGGGAGCCUGCGAUCCUCGAUCGUGGUUGAGCCGCUCGCAAAAAUUAAAAUAGUUUGCAUUCAAUAUUUGUUUUGUUUCGUAUAACAUGGUGCUAAUAUUUCUUUUUUUCAUUAUGCCAUAUGGUUUUCUUUUUGGUAUUUUUGAUUUUUCAAUGUUCCAAUUCAUUCCAAAAUUCCUUUCAUUCGAAUUUUAUUUAAUUUCGUUAUGUUCAAAGUUUAUCAUAUUUCAUUUCAUUACGAUCAAAGUUUGUCGUAUUUCAUUCAUCUUUGAUUUCAAAUAAUUUUCAAUAAUAAAAUAAC
rnacentral:lncRNA from 1 species